AAAGAAAAAUGAAUACUUUUGAACCGCGUUGGUGGAAAUCCACCUUCAAAAUUACAGAGCUCACUUUAGACUAGGAAAUGAUCGAGUUCAGUAUACCCCCACCAUAUUACAGACCCUCUUCCCCAAGAUUUUUUUUUUUUUUUUUUGGCUCUAAAAGGUAAAAUUAAUGCACCUAUGAAUAGAAAAAGGUCUCCAACUAUGCAAAAAUAUGUAGGAAAAACAUGGGUUUACAAGGAAACAAACAUUUUCAUUCCAAGGAGCAUUUGCCACCAACCCCCAUCUGCAGAUUUCCCUAGUGUUCUUUUUCCUUCAGGGCAUCUACUCAACCAUUAAUGGCUACCUAGCAUUAGUCUUUGCUAAUAUCAUUGGAGUGGCCCCUGUUAACUCUGUAUAGCCCGAAUAUAUGUUUUUCUAACCCAUAAAAAAAUGGAUCAUAUCAUCCAAACUCUCUAAACUGCUUGCAGAAGAAUCAACUUGAGAAUUGAAACCGCAUUCUAUUGAUCUCACUUAAAUGUGGUCACCAGUUGAGAGACAGCAAUGUACCAAGAUUUCAAGGAUACUUUCCUGAUGACUUCCAGAUUCUUCCUUC
rnacentral:misc_RNA from 1 species